CACAUUUUGUGUUCCAGCCCCCCAAGCAUUCUGGUGUAGCUCCGCCACUGGAUGGCUGGCAGCGCCUUCAAGCUCAUACAGAUCGACUAGGAGUUUAACAUCUUCCACGGGCGGCGACGCGCAUGGAGGAGGAGAGAAUGGAGAGGCGUGGAGGAUAGGCGGGCGAGCUGGAAGGGCCGGCACGUCGCCCACGACACAGAUGAGACCAACGGCGGCCUUGCAGGGGCGCGUUGGCGAGGACCUUUCGAAUCUCACCGAAUCCGAUGGGAAAUGGCGCGCAGGCAACGGGUCUAGAAGGAAAGCGGCCAGAUCUCGGAGCACAACGGCUGGAUUGAAGCGUGGCAUUGACUUGUGCGCUGCUAGCUGGAGCAGGUUUUGAGCCACAAUCUGUAUCUACCGGCAAAGCUAUCAUCUGACGGCAAACAUGGUGGCCUUCCUCUCAUCAUUGCAAUUGAUCUGCAACCGUUGGCUCCGAUAGAAGGUGUUAUACAGGUGCAGGGCAACAUCAUCAAUGCUCGGACAGCGGAAGUGGUUAUCAGGCACUUUGAUGGAUGUAAAGCAGACUUGGUUGUCUGUGAUGGCGCCCCUGAUGUUAAGCUUGCAUUGCUAGAGAAGUGGUCCAUAACCAUCUUACAUGUGCUAAAGAUACUUCUGUUUCUUACUUUGCUUUGGAUGAUUGCAUUUACUGGACUUCAUGAUAUGGACGAGUUUGUUCAGUCCCAGCUUAUAUUGGCGCUUAGUAUAUUUUUCUCUGUCUCUGCAUAUCAAUUUAGAUCAGAGAUACGUUUUGGAAGUAAUUUGCAGUAUCCAUAAGAUGCAGUGUCCAAAAAUAAUGCUACCUUAACCCUGCAGUUUAUGUUUAGCAUUCUACCUUAAAAUGCUUACUUUCGGUGCAAUAGCUUCUUUGUAUUUUUAUAUUGAACAUUGGACCAUUUUUACUCAACCUUUGGAUAAUUUGUUGCUGUUUAUGUUGUAGAACAACAUGGUGUAACACUAUGGUUCCACUAACUCGUCAUAUUUUCCACUAAUGUUCUUCCUUCUUGGCUGCUUCCAUCUACCUUGCUACCCCAUCUCCCCUCUACCAAAUCCCAACCUCAUGGUGGAUUCAUCUACAGGAAUCCUCACCUACGACAGUUCUCCUGGUGACCAUCCACCCGAAGUUCAUCUCCCUACCACUCUGUUCAGUACUUCUCUCCCCCAUACACCCUUGGCAGAUCCACCUGUCUCUCUCAUCUUACUCACAACUGAUUGUUGUUGUUUUGCUGCAGAGUUUGUGACAGAACAGAGAAUUGUUACAGCUCAGAUCAUAGACAAAUCUUAUGUUGCAACAACAGGUUUGGAGGUUAUGCUGAGAAUUAAAAUGUCAAGGUUCAAAAAAUAGAUGCUUCAAGUAUUUAAUCUCUUUCAAAUACUCUUAUCAUGUUCCUUUCAGCGGUUAGAGGCACAACUAAGAUAUGUUUGCUUCACACUCAUGUUUGUAAUACACCUAUAUGGUUCCUUAUUUUAUCAUGUCCACGUUUAAAAUUCUCUGAUGCAGCAGAGCUGACUGAUAUAGAGGUUAACCUUUUUUUGAGCCAAAGUUGUACUAAUUCCAUGUGCUCUUUGGUGCAGCGCUCACUGAACAUAUUGAUAUGCAAGUCAAUUCUAACAAAUAACUCUUUGCUUUGUCGCGGUGCAAAUACAUCAGAUUUAUCUGCACGUAGAACCGAACAUUGGAUUAUUUUUGCCUGCAUGUCAACACAAUCGAAAAUGACGAUGACACUGCAUAGUUAACCAGUUAGUUUUGUGAGAACCAAUAUGAUAAACUACUGGAUAAUAGGAUAACUAUAUUAGUAUUGUUGCAUUGGAACACAUGAUUCUCUAGUUCAUAUUUGGCACGAUGCUUGCAUUCAAUAUCUGGAAUCCUAGACCACAAACCAUAUGUUUGUGAUCCCUAUAGAGUGUUCCAGUGUUGAAAACUGGAGCAUAUACUAUAUUCGAAUAAUAUUUUGUUACACAUCAGUCAUACAUUGGAUGGGCAAGCCAUACAAAUUGGAGUCAAUCUGAUUAUUGUUUAGUUACAUAUGCUUUUUUGUUUUCUUUUGGUGUGUAGUCAUCUCUUAUAGUGACCACAAAUUAGUACAUAUAAAUUCAGUUUUAUGAUCACUGUUAAUAUGAACAAGGUUCCUGCUUUAUGGCAUUUAUGGUUAGUGAUAUGUAAAGUGAGCUGCACUGUUUUUUUUUCAUCCUAUUAGCAAAGCAUCAUUUUUGUUUUCGAGAAUAUUUGAUGAUAGUGCAGCUUAUAAACCUAGUCCAGAAUGGACCAGUGUUAAUAAUUCUUUUGUUAGAUAUUGGUCAAUAGAUUUGGUGAUUUAACUCCCUCGAUAUUUUAAGUUGCAUCAGUUUUAUACCUAGAUUGGAUUGUAUUUAGGCUGCACACAGUACCUCGCACUGGGUAUAUAUCAUGAUGAUAUUUUCCAUUAUAUUUAUACAUGAGUCAUUUUUCCCUACUGAUUCCUGAUUCUUUACUUUUAUGAAAGGCAAGGGCGUGCACUUUUCACUAUCAAUCUUAGAGUAAGCGCCUGCAGGUAAGGAGUAGUUGAUGAAAGAUAUUAGUUACCACAUCUCUUAUGUGUUGUGGAUUUGCUGUUGUGGAUUUGCUAAUGAAAAUUUCCUCGUGGAAUAUUUCUCUUUCCCCUCUAUGAAUUUUCAUGUUUCAUCUAUGAUGGAUCUUGCCUCCCACUGUUUGUCCUAUCUAAAAAUAUAUAUUUUUUCAAUGGUUCAAUUCCUCUCAUCCUCCCCCCUUGGGUUUCUUGGCUUACUUUUUGACCAACUUAUGUUUCAGGCUAUAUUUAUACCAUGGAAAAAUAGCUAUAUAUAGUGGCUUCAGCAGCCAUUUGUGCUUGCAUUUCUUUGUUAUUUUGUGUAAUAAGAUAAAUCAUAAGAUAAUUAGAUGUAACUCUAUGAUGUUCUUUGCCAUUGUCAUACGUCUCAUAAUAAGGUUGUCUCCUAUUCUGAAUCGUUGGGCAGAGGAGGAUAUUGUACGCGAUCCAGGGCAAGAAGGAUAUCAACCAGGACACAGUUGUAUCCCCGUUGCAACGCGCGGGUUUCAUAUUAACAAAAAUUAACAUUUUUCCAAUAUGAAUCUGUAAGAAAAGAUAUGUCAUACAUUUGUGAAAAUUGAUAAUGUAAGCUAAUCUCAAAACUUUAUUCUUUUUUCAAGAUUGAUUACUUGGUGGGGCUAACUUCCAUUUUCUCAAAACAGGAUGUGCAUGCUACUUCUGAAAAAAGAAACCUCUCUGUUGGCUGGCAUCCCUGGUGGUAGUUUUACAUAUCUAGCAAAUGAAAGGGCACCUCAUAAUACAUUGGAUAUAGACUGGUAGGGUCAAUUACAUAUAGUUGGCUGUAAAUGACUUUCAGUUUCUAGCUUACAUAUAGUUUUAGAUAUCUAGACAUGUACUCCAUCCUUCUCAAACUAAGUGUCUCAAAUUUGUACUAACUUUAGUACAAAGUUAUACUAAGCUUGAGACACUUACUUUGGGACGGAGGGAAUACUAUUUAACAGUAUGCUGUGCUUGAUGCCUUGAUGGUGGCCCUAUGUGUCAGUUGAAAUUAUCACGUUAUUUACUAGCAGUUGCAGUGCUCUUAUUAUUUUAUUUCCACAAAUAUCAUCAUGUUUUCCCUCAAUCUGAAGGUAUGAACUAUGCUGCUCCUCCUGGUUUGUGUGUUGCUUCCGCUGGAUGAUGCUCUGUUUUAUGUUGUUUGUACAAGGUCCAAGACCUGGCUGAUGUACAGUUUUGACAUACAAUGAUCUGAAUAUGUAUGUCUUUAUUUGGGAUAUAGUCAGGAUACAAAUAUUGUACGUCAGUGUGGAACACCGUACAUCUUUUAAGUUUUAACUGAUUCUAGGUGUUCAUUCAAUCUGAAUUGGUCUAUUUUAUUUAGCCUAUGCUAGCUUGUGAUUUCCUGUGCUGCAAACUGUAGUUAAUUUUCCUUAACUGAUGUCUUUGAUCCGGCAGUUGGGUAAUGCACUUGUGAUCAUUUUUCUUACUCUGCUGUCAGUACCACUGGUCUUGGGGUUCAGAUUCUGUCAAUAUCAAAAUCUAGGU